GAUGAACGCUGGCGGCGUGCCUAAUACAUGCAAGUCGAGCGAACGGACGAGAAGCUUGCUUCUCUGAUGUUAGCGGCGGACGGGUGAGUAACACGUGGAUAACCUACCUAUAAGACUGGGAUAACUUCGGGAAACCGGAGCUAAUACCGGAUAAUAUUUUGAACCGCAUGGUUCAAAAGUGAAAGACGGUCUUGCUGUCACUUAUAGAUGGAUCCGCGCUGCAUUAGCUAGUUGGUAAGGUAACGGCUUACCAAGGCAACGAUGCAUAGCCGACGUGAGAGGGUGAUCGGCCACACUGGAACUGAGACACGGUCCAGACUCCUACGGGAGGCAGCAGUAGGGAAUCUUCCGCAAUGGGCGAAAGCCUGACGGAGCAACGCCGCGUGAGUGAUGAAGGUCUUCGGAUCGUAAAACUCUGUUAUUAGGGAAGAACAUAUGUGUAAGUAACUGUGCACAUCUUGACGGUACCUAAUCAGAAAGCCACGGCUAACUACGUG
rnacentral:rRNA from 1 species